CCUACGGGUGGCAGCAGUGAGGAAUAUUGGUCAAUGGGCGCGAGCCUGAACCAGCCAAGUCGCGUGAGGGAUGACGGCCCUACGGUUUGUAAACUUCUUUUAUAAAGGAAUAAAGUGAGGCACGUGUCCCUUUUUGUAUGUACUUUAUGAAUAAGGAUCGGCUAACUCCGUGCCAGCAGCCGCGGUAAUACGGAGGAUCCGAGCUUUAUCCGGAUUUAUUGGGUUUAAAGGGAGCGUAGAUGGGUUGUUAAGUCAGUUGUGAAAGUUUGCGGCUCAACCGGAAAAUUGCAAUUGAUACUGGCAGCCUUGAGUACAGUUGAGGUAGGCGGAAUUCGUGGUGUAGCGGUGAAAUGCGUAGAUAUCACGAAGAACUCCGAUUGCGAAGGCAGCUUACUAAACUGUCACUGACAUUGAUGCUCGAAAGCGUGGGUAUCAAACAGGAUUAGAUACCCUGGUAGUC
rnacentral:rRNA from 1 species